UACGGAGGGGGCUAGCGUUGUUCGGAUUUACUGGGCGUAAAGCGCACGUAGGCGGCAUAUUAAGUUAGAGGUGAAAGGCCUGGGCUCAACCUAGGAACUGCCUUUGAUACUGAUAUGCUUGAGUUCGGAAGAGGGUAGUGGAAUUCCAAGUGUAGAGGUGAAAUUCGUAGAUAUUUGGAAGAACACCGGUGGCGAAGGCGGCUACCUGGUCCGAUACUGACGCUGAGGUGCGAAAGCGUGGGGAGCGAACAGG
rnacentral:rRNA from 1 species